CCUACGGGAGGCAGCAGUGGGGAAUCUUGCGCAAUGGGCGAAAGCCUGACGCAGCAACGCCGCGUGCGGGAAGAAGGCCUUAGGGUUGUAAACCGCUUUCAGUAGGAACGAAAAUGACGGUACCUGCAGAAGAAGGUGCGGCCAACUACGUGCCAGCAGCCGCGGUGACACGUAGGCACCAAGCGUUGUCCGGAUUUAUUGGGCGUAAAGAGCUCGUAGGCGGUUCAGUAAGUCGGGUGUGAAAACUCUGGGCUUAACCCAGAGCCGCCACUCGAUACUGCUGUGACUUGAGUUCGGUAGGGGAGCAGGGAAUUCCUAGUGUAGCGGUGAAAUGCGCAGAUAUUAGGAGGAACACCGGUGGCGAAGGCGCUGCUCUGGGCCGAUACUGACGCUGAGGAGCGAAAGCGUGGGUAGCAAACAGGAUUAGAUACCCUGGUAGUCCACGCCGUAAACGUUGGGCACUAGGUGUGGGUUCCAACCAACGGAAUCCGCGCCGUCGCUAACGCAUUAAGUGCCCCGCCGUCGGGAGGUACGGCGGCGACGACGUAAACGUACAANAGAGUAGACGGCGUGAGACGUUGCCGAACGGACGACGACGAGGGAGGAGG
rnacentral:rRNA from 1 species